UGAAACACGGAACCUCAGAACCAAAUAAUUUAUUUCAGCCUCCUGAGUUUUAUUAAUACAGACUGAAAAUGUAGACUUGAGUUUACCUUUUUAAGUCCUAUUUCUCUUUAACUAAAAUUAUGUUGAUAUUUUAUGUUAGUUUAAAUGAUUAAUAAGCCCUAGUUAUAUCUAUGUUUUCAUUUUUAUAAAAUUCACCACACUGAACCAGAAGUAACUGGAAAAAUACAUGCUCAGCUGCAUAAAAGACAUUGGUCCUGGUGGUAAAGAGACCUAGUGGAAGACACCAUUGCUGAUCUCCUGGGCAAAGUAGGGCAGAGGGCAUGGCACAGAGUGGACUCUUACAAGAAACUCCAGGCCUAGAAAAUCACAAACUCAGCUUGGUUCUGGUUUCUACAGCUACCUGGACUCAAAGACUUGCACCGCUCUCUGUGUAAAUACUAGAAAUGUUACAAAUCUUUUUGCUUUUCUUUAAAAAAAAAAAAAAGUGUUUCUUCCCAAUUC
rnacentral:lncRNA from 1 species